GUCGCAAGACCAAAGUGGGGGACCUUCGGGCCUCAUGCCAUCAGAUGUGCCCAGAUGGGAUUAGCUAGUAGGUGGGGUAACGGCUCACCUAGGCGACGAUCCCUAGCUGGUCUGAGAGGAUGACCAGCCACACUGGAACUGAGACACGGUCCAGACUCCUACGGGAGGCAGCAGUGGGGAAUAUUGCACAAUGGGCGCAAGCCUGAUGCAGCCAUGCCGCGUGUGUGAAGAAGGCCUUCGGGUUGUAAAGCACUUUCAGCGGGGAGGAAGGCGUUAAGGUUAAUAACCUCAUCGAUUGACGUUACCCGCAGAAGAAGCACCGGCUAACUCCGUGCCAGCAGCCGCGGUAAUACGGAGGGUGCAAGCGUUAAUCGGAAUUACUGGGCGUAAAGCGCACGCAGGCGGUCUGUCAAGUCGGAUGUGAAAUCCCCGGGCUCAACCUGGGAACUGCAUUCGAAACUGGCAGGCUAGAGUCUUGUAGAGGGGGGUAGAAUUCCAGGUGUAGCGGUGAAAUGCGUAGAGAUCUGGAGGAAUACCGGUGGCGAAGGCGGCCCCCUGGACAAAGACUGACGCUCAGGUGCGAAAGCGUGGGGAGCAAACAGGAUUAGAUACCCUGGUAGUCCACGCCGUAAACGAUGUCGAUUUGGAGGUUGUGCCCUUGAGGCGUGGCUUCCGGAGCUAACGCGUUAAAUCGACCGCCUGGGGAGUACGGCCGCAAGGUUAAAACUCAAAUGAAUUGACGGGGGCCCGCACAAGCGGUGGAGCAUGUGGUUUAAUUCGAUGCAACGCGAAGAACCUUACCUGGUCUUGACAUCCACAGAACUUUCCAGAGAUGGAUUGGUGCCUUCGGGAACUGUGAGACAGGUGCUGCAUGGCUGUCGUCAGCUCGUGUUGUGAAAUGUUGGGUUAAGUCCCGCAACGAGCGCAACCCUUAUCCUUUGUUGCCAGCGGUCCGGCCGGGAACUCAAAGGAGACUGCCAGUGAUAAACUGGAGGAAGGUGGGGAUGACGUCAAGUCAUCAUGGCCCUUACGACCAGGGCUACACACGUGCUACAAUGGCAUAUACAAAGAGAAGCGACCUCGCGAGAGCAAGCGGACCUCAUAAAGUAUGUCGUAGUCCGGAUUGGAGUCUGCAACUCGACUCCAUGAAGUCGGAAUCGCUAGUAAUCGUAGAUCAGAAUGCUACGGUGAAUACGUUCCCGGGCCUUGUACACACCGCCCGUCACACCAUGGGAGUGGGUUGCAAAAGAAGUAGGUAGCUUAACCUUCGGGAGGGCGCUUACCACUUUGUGAUUCAUGACUGGGGUGAAGUCGUAACAAGGUAACCGUAGGGGAACCUGCGGUUGGAUCACCUCCUUACCUUAAAGAA
rnacentral:rRNA from 1 species